GCAAAACGCGAAGAACCUUACCUAGGCUUGACAUGCAUCUCUAAGCGCGUGAAAGCGCGUGACCCUUCGGGGAUUGCACAGGUGCUGCAUGGCCGUCGUCAGCUCGUGUCGUGAGAUGUUGGGUUAAGUCCCGCAACGAGCGCAACCCUUGUGAACAGUUGCCAGCACUUAAGGUGGGAACUCUGUUCAGACUGCCCAGAUCAACUGGGAGGAAGGUGGGGACGACGUCAGGUCAGUAUGGCCCUUACGCCUAGGGCUGCACACGUACUACAAUGCCCAGCACAAUGAGAACCGAGACCGCGAGGUGGAGGAAAUCUAAAAAACUGGGCCCAGUUCGGAUUGGAGGCUGCAACUCGCCUCCAUGAAGUUGGAAUCGCUAGUAAUGGCGCAUCAGCUACGGCGCCGUGAAUACGUUCCCGGGUCUUGUACACACCG
rnacentral:rRNA from 1 species